GGGGAUAUAGCUCAGUGGUUGAGCAUUUGCCUACCAUGCAUAAAGUCCCAGAUUGAAUCCCCA
rnacentral:tRNA from 1 species